ACUGAAUAGAUACCCUGGUAGUCCAUGCUGUAAACGAUGAGAACUAGAUGUUAGGGGCAUGACCUCUUAGUAUCGAAGCUAACGCGAUAAGUUCUCCGCCUGGGGAGUACGGCCGCAAGGUUAAAACUCAAAGAAAUUGACGGGGGCCCGCACAAGCGGUGGAGCAUGUGGUUUAAUUCGAUGCAACGCGAAGAACCUUACCUACCUUUGAAUCCACGGAACCUAGCAGAGAUGUUGGGGUGCCUUCGGGAACCGUGAGACAGGUGCUGCAUGGCUGUCGUCAGCUCGUGUCGUGAGAUGUUGGGUUAAGUCCCGUAACGAGCGCAACCCUUGUCCUUAGUUGCCAUCAGGUUAUGCUGGGCACUUUAAGGAGACUGCCGGUGAUAAACCGGAGGAAGGUGGGGAUGACGUCAAGUCCUCAUGGCCCUUACAGGUAGGGCUACACACGUGCUACAAUGGGCAGUACAGAGGGAAGCCAACCCGCGAGGGGUAGCGAAUCUCAUAAAGCUGUUCGUAGUCCGGAUUGGAGUCCGCAACUCGAC
rnacentral:rRNA from 1 species